rnacentral:rRNA from 1 species
AUGGUUGAACUUAAAAGGAAUGUCAUGUUUCACGUUGUUUAUCACCUCAUUGAGUUGGCAUUGCUACUACCAGUAGCGACGACAACAGUUGAAAGAGCCUUCUCAUCAAUGAAAAUCAUCGAAACUAAGUUGCGUAGCAAGAUGUCUGAUGACUGGCUUAAUGACUUGUUGAUGUCUUAUAUUGAGCGAGAGAUCUCCCGAAGUAUUGAUCUUGGUAAAAUUAAGGAAGAUUUUCAGAAAGAGGGUAGUGCACUGGCAUUGCAUGGGUCUUCUAGACGCCAUUAA